rnacentral:snRNA from 1 species
GUACUCACUUCAGCAGCAUGUAUACUAAAAUUGGAAUGAUAUAGAGAAGACUAUCAUGGCCCCUGCACAAGGAAGACACACAAAUUUGUGAAGCAUUCUAUAUUUUU